CCAUCAGGUGCGAUAAUCCUACCUAUUGUUUUUGGAGGGCAAAUUAGAACAUGAUGAUUGGAGUUCGAAUGAUGCAUGAUUAGCUUUUCUUUGUAAGCUGGACUUGCAACACCCUGAUCGCUCCUGAA
rnacentral:snoRNA from 1 species